rnacentral:rRNA from 1 species
CUCCGGUUGAUCCUGCCGGACCUGACUGCUAUCGGAUUGGUACUAAGCCAUGCGAGUCGUUGUAGCAAUACAAGGCGGACGGCUCAGUAACACGUAGUCAACCUAACCUAUGGACGUGGAUAACCUCGGGAAACUGAGAAUAAACCGCGAUAGAUCAUUAUGCCUGGAAUGGCUUAUGGUUCAAACAAUUUAUUGCCGUAGGAUGGGACUGCGGCCUAUCAGCUUGUUGGUGAGGUAAUGGCCCACCAAGGCUAUAACAGGUACGGGCUCUGAGAGGAGAAGCCCGGAGAUGGGUACUGAGACACGGACCCAGGCCCUAUGGGGCGCAGCAGGCGAGAAACCUUAGCAAUGUGCGAAAGCACGACUAGGUUAAUCCGAGUGAUUUCUGUUGAAGAAAUCUUUUGUCAGUCGUAAAACCACAGACGAAUAAGGGGUGGGCAAGUCUGGUGUCAGCCGCCGCGGUAAUACCAGCACCUCGAGUGGUCAGGAGGUUUAUUGGGCCUAAAGCAUCCGUAGCCGGCUACGCAAGUCUCCGGUUAAAUCCAGCUGCUCAACAGAUGGGCUGCCGGAGAUACUACAUAGCUAGGGAGCGGGAGGGGUAGACGGUAUUCUGUGGGUAGGGGUAAAAUCCACUGAUCCAUAGAGGACCACCAGUGGCGAAGGCGGUCCACCAGAACGCGCUCGACGGUGAGGGAUGAAAGCUGGGGGAGCAAACCGGAUUAGAUACCCGGGUAGUCCCAGCUGUAAACGAUGCAAACUCGGUGAUGCAUUGGCUUAUGGCCAAUGCAGUGCCGCAGGGAAGCCGUUAAGUUUGCCGCCUGGGAAGUACGGACGCAAGUCUGAAACUUAAAGGAUUGGGCGGGGGAGCA